rnacentral:snoRNA from 16 species
CACAAUGAUGAACACCAUACCAAUAAGCAUAGUUCACCUGAGAUCUUCGGAUUGUUGAACGAAAACUGUAUACCAUCUUUCACCUUUAUCUGAUA